UGCCAGCCGCCGCGGUAAUACGAAAGGGGCUAGCGUUGUUCGGAAUUACUGGGCGUAAAGCGCACGUAGGCGGACUGAUCAGUUGGGGGUGAAAUCCCGAGGCUUAACCUCGGAACUGCCUUCAAUACUGUCAGUCUUGAGAUCGGAAGAGGUGAGUGGAAUUCCUAGUGUAGAGGUGAAAUUCGUAGAUAUUAGGAAGAACACCAGUGGCGAAGACGACUUUCUGGCUCGUAACUGACGCUGAGACGCGAAAGCGUGGGGAGCAAACAGGAUUAGAUA
rnacentral:rRNA from 1 species